rnacentral:rRNA from 1 species
UACAGAGGUCCCAAGCGUUGUUCGGAUUCAUUGGGCGUAAAGGGUGCGUAGGUGGCGCCGUAAGUCAGGUGUGAAAUCCCGGGGCUCAACCCCGGAACUGCACUUGAUACUGCGGUGCUCGAGUACUGGAGAGGAGAUUGGAAUUUACGGUGUAGCAGUGAAAUGCGUAGAUAUCGUAAGGAAGACCAGUGGCGAAGGCGAAUCUCUGGACAGUUACUGACACUGAGGCACGAAGGCCAGGGGAGCAAACGGG